ACGGAAGGCAGCAGUGGGGAAUAUUGCACAAUGGGGGAAACCCUGAUGCAGCGACGCCGCGUGAGUGAAGAAGUAUUUCGGUAUGUAAAGCUCUAUCAGCAGGGAAGAUAAUGACGGUACCUGACUAAGAAGCCCCGGCUAACUACGUGCCAGCAGCCGCGGUAAUACGUAGGGGGCAAGCGUUAUCCGGAUUUACUGGGUGUAAAGGGAGCGUAGGUGGCGUGGCAAGUCAGAAGUGAAAGCCCGGGGCUCAACCCCGGGACUGCUUUUGAAACUGUCAUGCUGGAGUGCAGGAGAGGUAAGUGGAAUUCCUAGUGUAGCGGUGAAAUGCGUAGAUAUUAGGAGGAACACCAGUGGCGAAGGCGGCUUACUGGACUGUAACUGACACUGAGGCUCGAAAGCGUGGGGAGCAAACAGGAUUAGAUACCCUGGUA
rnacentral:rRNA from 1 species